CAAAUUACGACCUACCAUAUAACACCUAUGUUUGAAAAAGCGAAGCUAAGUUACUCACUUCUAGCAGAUGACCUGGCUGCUCGUCUUCGGUCCUCUGGUCUCCUCUGUGGUUGCAGCCAUCUCACCACACGUGGACUCCAGAGGGAGGUCUUGAGAACCAAAGAUGCAAUCUGCCCUGUGGGGAUUGCUCUGUUGGAAAAAAAAGCUUCGCAAAAUUUUCCAGAAAUGUCCUCACCAUGGCGGAGUCGCACUCAGAACUCUAUCUAAAAGAACCUAUCUCCUCCACGAGAUCCAUCUGCCACUGUCUCAGGAGUCCCGGGUUUAAAGGUUCUCUCUUUGUAGCCCAGGCUACCCUUCAACUCAAGACCCGAUGGCUCAGGCUCCCUUGUCCCAAGAUCUGCACCACCAUGCCCCCACCCUGAAGCUUCUUCUUAUACCAUCUACAACCCACUUGUUGACCAAUUCCUGAGGAUAAUAUACACAUGGAGAAAACAAAUGAUAAGCUGGGAAAGCCAUGGGACCCAUGGCUGUAGGAAUUAGGCUCCUCGCGGGAUUUUGUAAUGGACAAUGGUAAAGAGUAAUCGUAAAAGCUGUGUGUGAUUCUGUCCCAGUUACAUGUGGUUCUGUAGCCUCUGGAGACACUAGAUUACCGAGAGUCUGGGCAGUUGACUGACAUGGCAGGCACUUCCAUCUAUCCAGUUACAGAGAAGGCCUCCUUGUUCCACGCAGCAGUCAGUUGCUGCUUUGCUCCUCUCAUUUGGGGCAGUGCACCAGCUCUCAGAGAAGAAAGCAGCCAGCGACAGCCAGCACAGUCUUCCCAGAAUCAUGCUGAGUGGAAAGAGAAGAUGAUGAAACUGUACACCAGUCAGGGACUCUUACUUUUCUUUCUUUCUGAAAGCAUCUCUGUCACCUUCAGGCAUGGAGAAUGUUUUCAAUGGUUACAUGUGGUUUCCUAGCCUCUGGAGACGCUAGAGUACCAAGAGUGUGGGCGGUCAACUGACGCGGCAGGCACUUUCAUCUAUCCAGCUACAGAGAAGGAAUCCUUCUUCCACCCAGCAGUCAGUUGCUG